ACCGCGGUAGCCCAGUUGGUAGAGUACAGAUGUCGAAGGUCGCAGGUUCAAAUCCUGCCUGCGGUG